rnacentral:rRNA from 1 species
ACCCGCUGAACUUAAGCAUAUCAAUAAGCGGAGGAAAAGAAACCAACAGGGAUUGCCCUAGUAACGGCGAGUGAAGCGGCAACAGCUCAAAUUUGAAAUCUGGCGUCUUUGGCGUCCGAGUUGUAAUUUGCAGAGGGCGCUUUGGCAUUGGCAGCGGUCCAAGUUCCUUGGAACAGGACAUCACAGAGGGUGAGAAUCCCGUACGUGGUCGCUAGCCUUUACCGUGUAAAGCCCCUUCGACGAGUCGAGUUGUUUGGGAAUGCAGCUCUAAAUGGGAGGUAAAUUUCUUCUAAAGCUAAAUACUGGCCAGAGACCGAUAGCGCACAAGUAGAGUGAUCGAAAGAUGAAAAGCACUUUGGAAAGAGAGUUAAAAAGCACGUGAAAUUGUUGAAAGGGAAGCGCUUGCAGCCAGACUUGCCUGUAGUUGCUCAUCCGGGUUUUUACCCGGUGCACUCUUCUAUAGGCAGGCCAGCAUCAGUUUGGGCGGUUGGAUAAAGGUCUCUGUCAUGUACCUCUCUUCGGGGAGAACUUAUAGGGGAGACGACAUGCAACCAGCCCGGACUGAGGUCCGCGCAUCUGCUAGGAUGCUGGCGUAAUGGCUGU